rnacentral:rRNA from 1 species
AGUGAACGCUGGCGGUAGGCCUAACACAUGCAAGUCGAACGGCAGCACCGUAAGAGCUUGCUCUUACGGGUGGCGAGUGGCGGACGGGUGAGGAAUACAUCGGAAUCUACUUUUUCGUGGGGGAUAACGUAGGGAAACUUACGCUAAUACCGCAUACGACCUACGGGUGAAAGCAGGGGAUCUUCGGACCUUGCGCGAUUGAAUGAGCCGAUGUCGGAUUAGCUAGUUGGAGGGGUAAAGGCCCAACAAGGCGACGAUCCGUAGCUGGUCUGAGAGGAUGAUCAGCCACACUGGAACUGAGACACGGUCCAGACUCCUACGGGAGGCAGCAGUGGGGAAUAUUGGACAAUGGGCGCAAGCCUGAUCCAGCCAUACCGCGUGGGUGAAGAAGGCCUUCGGGUUGUAAAGCCCUUUUGUUGGGAAAGAAAAGCAGCAGGUUAAUACCCCGCUGUUCUGACGGUACCCAAAGAAUAAGCACCGGCUAACUUCGUG